CUACGACUCUCUCUCUAGCCAAAGCUCCCCUCUCGUCACAAGCACGCCUCUCUCGCUCUGAGCUCUCCUGCGGCGAGCUCUCUCUCGCUAGAUCUAGGGUUUCUCACUCUGCAACCUCUCUUCGCCGACAAACUCCUUCACUGAUUAUUAUGAGAUAAUAGUGGAAAUGCAUUAACGUGAGAUUUGUUUCGUGGAGAAUAAUCGCGAGGAGAGGUUUGACGUGAUUCUGCAUUCGCGGCGUUAUCAACUUCUCACGCGGAUAGUCCACUGGGAUGCAGAUGGUGGGAAGCCACUGGAGCUCAAUAGGAUUCUUAGACCUGGAGGUUUCUUUGUUUGGUCUACAACACA